rnacentral:rRNA from 1 species
GACGAACGCUGGCGGCGUGCUUAACACAUGCAAGUCGAACGGAAAGGUUCUGCUUGUGUGGGGUGCUCGAGUGGCGAACGGGUGUGUAACACGGGAGUAACCUGCACUCGACGGUGGGAUAACUUCUGGAAACGGGGGCUAGCAGGGGAUAGGAGGUACUGCUGCAUGGGGGGGGAGGGAAAGAUGCGGCGGUUGGGGAUGGACUGGCGGCGUAUCAGCUUGUUGGUGGGGUAGUGGAUUUCCCAGGCUUUGAGGGGUAGCCGGCCUGAGAGGGUUACCGGCCACGUUAGGACUGAGAUACGGCACAGACCCCUCCGGGAGGCAGCGGAGGAGAAUAGUGCACUAUGGGCUGAAGCAAGAUGCGGCAACGCCGCGUGCGGGAUGACGACCUUCGGUUUGUAAUCCGCUGUCGCCUGAGAAGAAGAGUGAGUGACGGUAAUGGGUAAAGAAGCUCCGGCUAACUACGUG